rnacentral:tRNA from 1 species
AGGAAGUUGGCUGAGUGGUUUAAAGCAACGCUUUGCUAAAGCGUCGUGCGGCAAACGCAUCCAGAGUUCGAAUCUCUGACUUCCUG